UAACUCACAUAAUAAACCAAUUUCAACUCAAGAAAUUAGUUUUGCAUAAGGCUGGCUAUUAGUAUCAGCUGCCAGGGGACUGACAUGUUCAUUAUUUUUAUUCUCCCUUUUUGAGGUUUUACUGUAGUGGGAUUUCUGUACAUGAAUUCUUGAGAGAUAGAUAAUAUAGUGAGAGGCUGAACAUUUCUUUGAAAGAUUUGAGGACUGCAAAAUUCCACUCUGACUUCAAUGGAAUGCUCAGAGAGGUUAGCAACAUUUGGGAGAGCAGACAUGAUCACUUCCUCACCUAGACUAACUACUGAAAAACCAGGAGCUUUCCCUGCUAAAAGAUACUUUGAGAGAUAAGUAAAAAACAAACAAGUAGACUGUUUAUCUUUAAUAUUCCCUGGAGAAUGGCUGCUUUUUAAGAAAUAUUGUGUGCCCAGGAGAAGGGAAUUACUCUAUAGUAAUCUGAGACUUGACUGAGUUCUACCUAUUUUGCUGUUUCAUUUAAAAUAAGCCUUUGAUUUGCCAUUUUCUUUUAAAAAUAAUGUUGUUGAUGUUACCAUGGUAACCAUGCUUUAGCAAACAAGCAUGAGUGCUGCCCAAAGAGUACUCAAAUAUCACAGAGUAAAAAAGUAAAAGCAUAGUGAGACUACCCGUAUUCCCCACUGUGGAACCUUGAAACAGCUAGCUGGUAGUGAAAAAACAGAAAAGAUGGACAAAUGAGGGUGUAACCUUGAGUGGAGACAGGUGAAAGGAAAAGGAUUGAAAAAAAUGGUGCCUACAAAUGGUUCUUUUCUUUGAAAUAACCAUGGCAUUCUAAAAGUUAAACUGGAAAGUAACCAGAAAAACCUGUGCUCAGUGAGGUGGGCACAGGCAAUUUAGAAAGCAAUUCCAGUAGACCACCUAAAGAACUGGCUAGGUAGGGACUAGGGGAGGCUGAGGAGGAGAAUCGCCCAGACUAUGGUGUGGAUAACUUCGUUUGGACAGACAUCUUUCGUAACUCAAUUGUAAGCCCGUUUUCUAAAGGUAUAGCGUGUGUGUGUGUGUAUAUGUACAUAGCUGUAUGUAGGGAAUGAUUCUCUAGUUGAAUCUAAAAUAAGCUUCAAAAUCUGGUUGUGUUUGUCAGAGGAUUAGUGGCACCUUUCCUCUCCAGCAUACAUUUGUAUGUUAAUUCAGAGGUGAUUUAAUCUUUUAAAAAUUUGUAAGCCUUUUUUUUUUUUUUUUUGGUAAUGCAAGAAACUCUUGAGAGAAGGCUACAGGGUAAUAGAGCAGGACAGUGCACAGCCCUUAGCAGUCAGCCAGUUGCUGGAACCGUUACUGUGCAACCCAUUACCAGCAACGGUUACCAGACCACUAACAUCCAGAGGGCUAGAGUGGCGAUUAGAGGUCCGUUGUGCCAUUGGUCGGCACCACAGUGGGUCCCUCCCCCAAGCAAACAACUGUCAUUGAGUGACUAUUAGUAGUUGUGCUCAGCCAUUGGUUGGCUCUGCUGUGGGCUCCUCCCCCAAGUGAGCAACUGUCACUGAGCAACAGUUAGCGGCCGAUUCAGCAAAUGGUCGUCAGAAUGGUGGUUGUCAGGUGGAGAAUGAGACCACCUUAUGGAACUGUGAGAAGAUACUGAACUGUACCCACGCUUGCCCAUUUUACCAUGUGAUUCUGUUUAUGGUCCAUAUUACCUAUAACUAUUUGAGUCUGCAUUGAUUCAUUCAUCAAACAACUUGAGCCUCUUCCACUUUGCCAGAUGCUGAAGUCUGAAAUGUUUGCUGUCCUCCUCCAUUACCAGGGCCAUUUGCUUGUUCCCUGAGCAUAUGUGGACAUUCACAGGGGGCACACAAUUGUCAAAAACCUGCGGGGCUAUGUUGGCAGCAGAGAAGCUAAUACCAGCUACUUAAUAAUUUUAUACCGCUUUAUGACAUGCUUCACCAGUGUGAUUUAACUUUGCAAAGGAAUAGGUGUACAGAGAACUCAGUAGAGACCAAUUCUUUGGCAGUAUUUGUAUUUUAUAGUAACCAUACAUAUAAAUUUCCCAUUUUUGUAGUAAUAUGGCUUUAAUCUUAAUGAAUGCCAUUUUGGUGGUUUUCUUCAGAGAUUAGAAUUAACAUUCACAAGUGAACAGAAAAUGUUAAAGUAUUAUUAGUCUCCUGAGAAUUUUGCUUCUGGCAAUGCAGUUUUAGAGAUUUCAUCUUGGUUUAGGUGUAGCAAAAUACCACCAUUUCUGCUUGUUAGAAGGAAACUCUCCAAGGUUUAUGUCUAUUUCAGUCUAGGGUUUGAUUUUUCAAAGCAGAAAAAAAUGAUUUUCCUGGACCCUGAAUAUAACCUGAAGUCAAAAAUCAAUUGAAAAGCCAGCAAAAAUUGGUCAUGAGUGCUGUUAGAAACCUUUAUUGGUAACAGUUUUCUGGACAUUACUAACACAUUUCUUAAUUAACUGCUGAGGUUGUUAAUAUGGUUUGUGUAAUUUUAGAAAUUAUUUGUUUAUCUGUUGUUUAUAUCUUGCUUCACUUAAAAAAGUGUAAGUUGACAAACCCUAUUUUGUG